rnacentral:rRNA from 1 species
UGGUGGGUAGUUUGACUGGGGCGGUCUCCUCCCAAAGCGUAACGGAGGAGCACGAAGGUUAGCUAAUCCUGGUCGGACAUCAGGAGGUUAGUGCAAUGGCAUAAGCUAGCUUGACUGCGAGCGUGACGGCGCGAGCAGGUGCGAAAGCAGGUCAUAGUGAUCCGGUGGUUCUGAAUGGAAGGGCCAUCGCUCAACGGAUAAAAGGUACUCCGGGGAUAACAGGCUGAUACCGCCCAAGAGUUCAUAUCGACGGCGGUGUUUGGCACCUCGAUGUCGGCUCAUCACAUCCUGGGGCUGAAGUAGGUCCCAAGGGUAUGGCUGUUCGCCAUUUAAAGUGGUACGCGAGCUGGGUUUAGAACGUCGUGAGACAGUUCGGUCCCUAUCUGCCGUGGGCGCUGGAGAAUUGAGGGGGGCUGCUCCUAGUACGAGAGGACCGGAGUGGACGCAUCACUGGUGUUCGGGUUGUCAUGCCAAUGGCACUGCCCGGUAGCUAAAUGCGGAAGAGAUAAGUGCUGAAAGCAUCUAAGCACGAAACUUGCCCCGAGAUGAGUUCUCCCUGAGAC